AAACCUGGGUGUUUUCACCAUGACUUGGGCUCCACUACUCCUUGCNUUUCUUCAUCACUUAACAGGGUCAUGUGCCCAGUUUGCGCUUACUCAGCCAAAGUCUGUGUCUACAUCUCUAGGAAGCACAGUCAAACUGUCUUGUAAGCGCAGCACUGGUAACAUUGCAGACAACUAUGUGCACUGGUACCAGCAGCACAUGGGAAGANCUCCCACCAAUAUGAUCUAUGGAGAUGAUCAGCGACCAUCUGGAGUUUCUGAUAGGUUCUCUGGCUCCAUUGACAGCUCUUCCAACUCAGCCUUCCUGACAAUCAAUAAUGUGCAGACUGACGAUGAGGCUGACUACUACUGUCUGUCUGGUAGUAGUGGCAUUCAUCACAGUGAUGUAAAAUAUGGAGGAA